UUCCAGACUCCUACGGGAGGCAGCAGUGAGGAAUAUUGGUCAAUGGGCGAGAGCCUGAACCAGCCAAGUCGCGUGAGGGAUGACUGCCCUAUGGGUUGUAAACCUCUUUUGUAUGGGGGGAAUAAGCUUUACGAGUAGAGUGAUGACAGUACCAUACGAAUAAGCAUCGGCUAACUCCGUGCCAGCAGCCGCGGUAAUACGGAAGGUCCGGGCGUUAUCCGGAUUUAUUGGGUUUAAAGGGAGCGUAGGCCGGCUUUUAAGUCAGCUGUGAAAGUCCGCGGCUCAACCGUGUAAUUGCAGUUGAAACUGGAGGCCUUGAGUGCACACAGGGAUGCCGGAAUUCAUGGUGUAGCGGUGAAAUGCUUAGAUAUCAUGAAGAACUCCGAUCGCGAAGGCAA
rnacentral:rRNA from 1 species